rnacentral:rRNA from 1 species
UACGGAGGAUCCGAGCGUUAUCCGGAUUUAUUGGGUUUAAAGGGUGCGUAGGCGGCCUGUUAAGUCAGGGGUGAAAGACGGUAGCUCAACUAUCGCAGUGCCCUUGAUACUGAUGGGCUUGAAUGUACUAGAGGUAGGCGGAAUGUGACAAGUAGCGGUGAAAUGCAUAGAUAUGUCACAGAACACCAAUUGCGAAGGCAGCUUACUAUGGUAUAAUUUGACGCUGAGGCACGAAAGCGUGGGGGAUCAAAACAGG